rfam:Punica granatum cultivar Dabenzi scaffold225, whole genome shotgun sequence.
GUGGAGGUGAUGAUCCUUUCCCCAGAUGAUCGACGUUGAUUAUACUGUGCGUCUUGUAAUGUUCCUCUUCGGAGGAACCAAGCCAGUGGUUCUGAUCCAU